ensembl:lncRNA
UGUUCCUCUGCUGCAGUAUCCCUUCAGCCAGACAGUUUCACAGUGUCCAAAGCCGAUUCUCCGCGCUUGUUAAUUGAAUCGGAUUUCUUAUAGUUUAAAAUCCACACAGACCCAUGUACGGCCCAAACUGUAUAAGGGGUUUAUCUGAAUCUGUAAAGCCAUGGCAGAGAUAUAAAGAGAGCGCAAGAGACUAUACCCGCGUGUUGAACAUUUUUAAAUCUCAAAUAAACAUAUUUACCUGCGGCAUCUGCUGGUGCGCACAGCCUGAGUAGCCAAUGUGAUUUGUUUUAACAGUUCAACUUUGGAAUAUUUGCUUCAUGAGGGCACAUCACCUGCUCAACUAUCAGAACGUGUGUGUGCUGGUGGGCCCGGGUGGCGUGGAGGCAGGGUGGUUGAGUGUACAGUAACUUCUGGACCCCCUCGUCCCAUAUGGCAGCAGACAGCAGUGGUAAUCAAGGAAGUGGAGCAACACGCCUGAGCCCUGGUAAUCCCCGGACACACUCCGACACGUGCCGCACAGAAGCACACACACCACCUGCCGCGUGGACACACUCGGACACGCAACACACACACACACACAGACAUUGCAUGCGUAUAUUCCAGAUGCACAUAGAGACGUGAGCACUACAGACAGUGUCUUGGCUGACAGACAAAAUCCCCUUAUUCUGUUUACCGCCUGCCUUCCUUUGUGCCGAACAGUGUCUCCGUGCUGAGGAGUAAUCACAGUGUCACCAUUCAUUUGACACUGAAACCACAGUGCCAGAACCACAACGAGUGUCUGCAGGUCUUCAACGGGGUAUGGACAACCGUCUUCCACCAUAUAUUACCAGAUGAAGCGUUUAGUUGACGAAAGCCAUCGCAGGCCGCUAUGCCUGAGUCUCCCAGUAGUGUUAAGCAUCGGCUGACUCAGAUGUCGUGGUAUUCCUAAAAAACGCCGGCAAGUUGAGCGGUCCGGGUCACUGAAGCACCAGGCAAACACGCCUGACCAUCACCCACUCCUAGAGUCAUUGCUUGCCAUGCUUGGCAAAAUAACGGCCAGCUAAGCCUGGACUGUGGUGUUGUGGAUAUCUGCCGGUUGAGGACCAAGGACCACAGCCAUGUGGAAGCACUUUCAGUGUCAUAUCACCUGUUUACAUGGGUGUUACCUGUACAUUCAAUGGAGAUGAAUAAUAGCACUGUAUAUCAGCUCCACCUUUGGGACACACACUUGGGUCCACAUUUACCACCUGCCGACCUACCAAAACUCACAUUGCUCAUUACAGACAGAGACACACACACACACACAGCAACACACACAACCGUUUGCAUUGACGCACAAGGACACACGACCACAAUGGUCCUCUUAUUGUUAAUUGGCCGUUUAAUCCCGAGGAAUGUUUCUAAUUAGUAGAUGCUGGCGGCCAGGAUCUUACUCAAUCUGCUGCAUUACAAUGGACUGGCUGUAAUGGCGAUCUUGGAGCACACUCUCGCAAGCACACAGCUAAACAACCCGCCGUGCCCAGACGUUUACCCACAUACUCACCUCACCACACAUGCAGACACACACACAGCACUCACACACACACUCACACACUCACACACUCACACCCAAAGUUAGACGCUGUCGCCAUAUUUCUAGUCAUUCAUUCCCAUGGUUUUCGUCUCCCGCUGGGGUCCCAUGGUCUGUUCCGGAAGACGGUGACAUGCAGUUACUGUAUAUUAUGAAUUGCAUUUACAUUACACUGGUAUAUUGACCAUUUAGGAACAGCAUUUAAAGAUGAAAAAGCUACAAAUAGAGAUACACCUACCAUGAAUAACAGAUCAUAAUUUUCAAGAAAACACGCCUCCCUAAUUUUCUCAGAUGUACAGGCUGCACAUCAUUAUCCGCUUAUAAGUCGAACUGCUGGACGUCUCUUGUUGGCAAACAGAUUUCGGUGAGGCAUUGAAACCAGCGGCCUGAGAUGCAUUAUGAUGACAGGUUUUCAACAACUUAUUUUGAAGAUUACAGGAUCACAAUCACACCGUAGCGUUGAGCUCUCGUCCCCAAAUCUCCACGGCAGAUCUAGCGUGGCCUGGCACCAGAGUCCUACGAUGUGUUUGUCGUCAGUAGACCAGGCCUCAGUGGAAAAGCAAUGAACCAUUACCGUUUGCUAGAUUUGGUUGUGUGGUCCAACAGAGGGCUUUGUCGCCAUCGCGCUAAGCCGAUGCAUUGCUGUGCCUGCAAUGGUGAGUGAACAGUAGAAAACAAACCCUGCAAAUAUGCCCAUGAAGCCUCUAUAUUCGGCCUGACUGUGAUAUCACUUGUUGUGUUGAUGAUAGCAGUGCCACCAAUGAAGCUGUCAGGGCCUUUCAGAGCCUUUCAGGUUCAGGUUGUGAGACAAGGCCAGCGGGAGGCUGACAGUCGGAGCUGGGUGAUGAGAUCUCAGGGUCGUUGAAAGAGGAGGUUGGUUCAUUGUUGGGUCCGGAGCUUUGGGGACGAAGACUGCUCAACUUGUCGACUUUCGCAAUGCUCCAUGUCCAUCUUAGUGGUUACAUGUCAACCCUGGUGAACACUCACCAGAGGCUCAUUGUCUGAGGCGGUGCCUUCAGUGAUUACCGACACCUUCCACAAAAAACACCAAAUUAUGGAAUUUGGAAUAGAAUUUGUUAAAGAAGAACUGUGUUGUACGUCUCCGAUAGAGUCCGGUAGAGUGUCUAGAAUAUAUGUCAACCACAAAGGUGCAUCAGAGCUGUCUCGGUUCCCCUAAUAAGACACAAAUGUGCUGCUGUUUGCUUUCUUUUGGCACAUUUUCAAAUAGAUCAAAGGAUGUAGCAGGAGCGGUUGAGAAGAAUAUUGAGUGGAAAAAUAAAUGGGAGAGGAGGGUGCAGACAGCGGAUGGGGUCAGACACAUAACAUCGGGGGGGGGGCAGAUGCAGUG